CGGUGCUCCUGGCCGUCAGGACCCCGCGGCCUCGCGCUCGUGGCGCGUGCCGGCGGUGCGCUGGUCGUCCGGAUCGUGGUACCAGUCGCGGUGCGGCGAC
rnacentral:tRNA from 1 species